rnacentral:lncRNA from 13 species
AUGUCAAUGAGUUGUAUCUUAUUUGUAGAAUGUGUACAGAUGUUUGUCUUCCUUCGAUUGAGGGAUCAAACAAAGGAGCGUUUGAUCAGAGAGGGAGUGUACCUUACCUUCGUUAUAACACUCCUCUUCCCCCCCCCCCACUUCCUCUCCUGGCCAGAGCGGUGGACCCACAGCAGCACCAGGGCCAUGGACCUGGAGAAUCCCAGGGGAACUGUCUGGAGCUGCAGUAAGAGCACAGCGAGUAAGAGAACUGAGGAGCAUGUGGACCAUGCAGGGACUCACAGCUGUAUAUGGACAGGUUGACGUAACAGUUGUGGGUGCCCAGGAGGUUGGUGCAGCGUUACAGACCAGAGUUCCCAGGUGAGAUGUUGACUAUCUGGACAGAGCCUGAUAGGUCCCCUGUCAGAACAACAGAGGUUAUUGGAGUCUGGACAGGGGACUCAUGGUGAAGAAGGAGCAGAGCAGGGUCACAGAGUCUCUGUGAACCACCUCCAGACUGGUCUCUCAGGGUCAUCCUCACUGCACCUGCACAGUUGAAGAGCAUAAGGCAAAAACUAUCAUUGGGCCAAGCAGGCACAUUCCUCUACUCAAAUUCCUCUCACGUGAGAUAUCCUAUGGGUAAUACAUUGGCAUGAAUGAGACACUGCAGCACUGGGUUUUGUUGUGUAGCAGUUCAAUAAAAACACAAUGAUAACACAACAAAUACAAUUUCUCAUGUUUCUUUUUUUUAAAAAUUAAAAGGUACAAUUAUUUGUCCAACGCACUCUCCUAACCUCUGGUCUAGCAGGCAGUCCCAGACCAGCCCGGGCCUCCCUCCCUCCCCUUCUCUCAUUACUGGAAUAAUGCACCUUCCCCAUCCCCAGGCCCCUUGUAUGUGUGGGAAAGUAGUGUGGAUACUGGGCACUAAUUACUGUUGAUAGCUUAGACCAAGCAGCCAAACACUCAUUGCUGACAGAUGUGGGUAAAACAAGCCUUAUUCACCAUGUAGUGAAAACCUACUACUAAUCUAAUUUAAACAUUUUGAUUUGUCUUUUUAAAAAACUGCCAUAUCAAAUGCCUGCCAUCCUCAGAAGCAGGCUAUAGCUUCUAUUUUAGUUCUGAUUUUUAUAACAAGGAGUUAGUGCUUGUCAAUUAGAUACUAUUUUGUUUUAAAGAUUAAAUGAUUUAUGAACACGGUAAUUUAAGCAUCUUCNNNNNNNNNNGUCUUUUUUUUUGUCCUGAAAUUCUGUCCUCAUCCGACUACCCCGGCUGUGAGUCGGUACUAUUGUAUAUAUUGUAUGUAGACUUUGUGUAAAUUCUUCUGUCUGUGUUCUGUUUGUACAUUUGUCUAUUGCUGGCAGCACCAAUCACAGAGUUAAAUUCUGGGUAUGCCUAAAUGUACUUAGCAAAUUAAAGUGAUUCUGAAGGGAGUUCCAUUUCUAAUUGUUACAAAACUGUAGCUCACUAUAACCUCAAAUAUUCUGGUCAAUCUUUCCAAAUGAGUAACUAUGGCUUUCCCAUUGUCACAGUUGCAGAUGUGUAGUGCUGUGUCAGAAGUUUGAGAGAGAGAUAAUUCCUUAUCAACCAUACAUCAGACUGAAUUUACAGAUGAUUAACAUAAUAACAUGGUUAGGGACAAUUCGAAAUGUACUGGGGUGUGGGGGCACAGGGAGGGUAGUGUGUGUUUUUAUAUGGGCAC